rnacentral:rRNA from 1 species
CGCGGCCUAUCAGCUUGUUGGUGAGGUAAUGGCUCACCAAGGCGUCGACGGGUAGCCGGCCUGAGAGGGUGACCGGCCACACUGGGACUGAGACACGGCCCAGACUCCUACGGGAGGCAGCAGUGGGGAAUAUUGCACAAUGGGCGGAAGCCUGAUGCAGCAACGCCGCGUGAGGGAUGACGGCCUUCGGGUUGUAAACCUCUUUUAGCAGGGAAGAAGCGAAAGUGACGGUACCUGCAGAAAAAGCGCCGGCUAACUACGUGCCAGCAGCCGCGGUAAUACGUAGGGCGCAAGCGUUAUCCGGAAUUAUUGGGCGUAAAGAGCUCGUAGGCGGUUCGUCGCGUCUGCUGUGAAAACCCGAGGCUCAACCUCGGGCCUGCAGUGGGUACGGGCAGACUAGAGUGCGGUAGGGGAGAUUGGAAUUCCUGGUGUAGCGGUGGAAUGCGCAGAUAUCAGGAGGAACACCGAUGGCGAAGGCAGAUCUCUGGGCCGUAACUGACGCUGAGGAGCGAAAGGGUGGGGAGCAAACAGGCUUAGAUACCCUGGUAGUCCACCCCGUAAACGUUGGGAACUAGUUGUGGGGUCCAUUCCACGGAUUCCGUGACGCAGCUAACGCAUUAAGUUCCCCGCCUGGGGAGUACGG